UACCUACGGGGGGCAGCAGUGGGGAAUAUUGGGCAAUGGGCGCAAGCCUGACCCAGCAACGCCGCGUGAAGGAAGAAGGCUUUCGGGUUGUAAACUUCUUUUAAGAGGGAAGAGUAGAAGACGGUACCUCUUGAAUAAGCCACGGCUAACUACGUGCCAGCAGCCGCGGUAAUACGUAGGUGGCAAGCGUUGUCCGGAUUUACUGGGUGUAAAGGGCGUGUAGCCGGGCCGGCAAGUCAGAUGUGAAAACCACGGGCUCAACCUGUGGCCUGCAUUUGAAACUGUAGUUCUUGAGUACUGGAGAG
rnacentral:rRNA from 1 species